GCCGCUAAACCGGACUCGGGUUUGGGAGACGGAAGGGGUGAUUUGCAUGGCGCCCGGCGAUUGGCCGAGGCCCGGGGGCUGGGUCUGAGAGGCGGCCCCUGAAUGGUUUAACGGGGAAAUCUCUGAAUUCUGAUUUCUAAAGUCGGGCCCGCCGGGUGGAUGCAGUAUGCAGUCGGGCCGCAAGGAGGCGCGGUGUCCUAUCUUUGUUCUGCUUCGGGACUCUUUCUCUGUCCUCCCGCGGCCGUCCCCGCCCCCACCCCAACACGCAGACUCACACGCAGAAAGUGCAGAGAAACCCUGUGAUCCAGUCAACUGGCACUGCCCCGUCUAUUAAGAAAGAUGAACGCUCCUUUCUCUUCCAUCUCCUUCAUGGGAGACCACUUUUCAUUUCAGAUUAUCACAUCAAUAAAUAUUCUUCGAGGAACAAAAAAGGCACUUUGCCAAAAGAUAAAAGAAUAUAUGUGAAAUGUGUGGACUGUGGAGAAAGGCGAUACACGAAGAGAGGAUGAAACAACGAAAGUGCAGUUUGCCGAGACAGUAAGAUGAGUUCCCAUGCCCUUUGUUGAAUGGUUGGUGCAAACCAGCUUCCAGCAACUUCGGAGGUCCGUCAGUCGGCUAGGUGAUCCAGCCCGCAACCCGCAAGCUUCUUAGGGGCAAACAGCCCUCACCCGACGCUUGCCCUCAGCAGACUCAAGUUGGGAUCACACCUGUCAGUGGUCCAAGAAACUCUCGCCCCCAGAAACCCCCCAGCAGCUGGUUAAAGCUUCUGAAAAGCUCCCUUCUGUGUGGCAAUGAACUUUGCUCGCUGCAGACUGCAGUCGGAGCUAGCACGCUCGCAUCAGCAGCUCCCAGGGCCCGCGAAGCCUUGAGCAAAGGGAUAAAGCAUAUAUUCUUAAGUGGUUUACCAACAAACAAACAAACAAAAACGUUCACGCUUGCUAAGAGGAUGGAAAGCUGUUUCAGAACCAACCAGAACACGAGCCUGUCUCCUUUGUGUGCCACAUUAGAGGUGUGUGUGUGUGGGGGGGAGAACCCUGACACUCUAUACCGUAGGUGCACCCUUUAAAAUGUGUGGGUUUACAGGACUCUGUGAUUGUCCCCCUCUUGCUCAAGGCCCUAAGAAAACAGCCGCAGUGGCUGGUGUUCUAGUUUCUCUUAUCAGAUAAGAUAUUCAUCUGGACACAUUAUCUAAAUCUGCCUAAGAAUGAAGGCUGCUUGUCAUGCGUCCUUCGUUUCCAGUAAUGUGUGCCACCCAAUUAGAAGCAAUUUAGGCAAUCAAGACCAUAGGAGAGAAGAAGGUGUUAAAAAUAGGUUUUCUAAAGCCUCAGAACUCUAAUUUGGAGGAAAAUCUAAAAUUACAUAUGUAACGUUUCUUUACAUAAAAUAAAUACAUAAUCUGGAUGUCUCUUGUUCCUUUUUCCCUCGGGGUCCUUCUCUUCUUGCCUGCCUGGUUUUUUGGGUAUUCAUAAUAGAAGGGAAAUGUAAAGUUCAGAUGCAAAAGGACUAGGUCUCUAAAAGAGCACAAAGAUCUGGGUAGGGCUUGGUACAGUUUUUCCUUGGCUGAUCGCUGUGGCCAUGGCCCAGACGUUGGUUUCCUGAUUCCAUCCGCCCUAGUCAGGGGAAGCCCUGGAGGAGUGCGGGGAGACCAGGGGACUCCUUUUCCGGACUGGGAUUUAGAGCCCCGGGUCCUAGUGGGUCAGAGGAAGCGGACUGGGGAGGUGUGCUCUAAUCAUUGGAGGACAGUCCAGAAAACCACCAGCCCCGGUUUGGAAGUGCAGAAAAGAAGUGAGGACGAGGUAUUGAGAGAAAGGGGUUAACAAAUGCGGGUGCACGUGUCCAAACAGAAGGGGGAAAGCAAGGCUGAAAGAUAAAAAAAGAAAAGGGAAAAAAUAAAUGAGUCCACGUGAGUCCUCCAGAGGACACGAGAAUGUGGAACUUGGAGGUGGAACUUGGCACUUAUUUUUUCCGAGGUUUCAACAGUCUGAGUGCGCUGUGGGCUGAGAGCGGGAACGGAGGGAACUGAAGCUCACUGGCGGACAUAGGCACACUCUCCUCUACACCAAGCCUGCCUGUCCAGCACCCAGGCGAUUUUUCUUUUUCCUCCUGGGCUGUCAUAAGAGAGCUGGCCCAGAAAGCGACCAGAGUGAAGUUGGCAGAACUUCUAGGAAGCGGUACCUCUGUAUAGUUACUCGUGACCUAAGAAUAGAAUGCUUUUGAAGAGACAAACACACUGUCUUAACCAAGAGAUUGAAGCGAAUAUCACCAGCCAUCGUGUGCCAGCUACUAGGACGAAAUGAGAACAGCACACUGUCAUUCGUGCAGUAAUCCUCCCCACUGAGGAACUUGAACAAACUCACAAGGAAACAUCCAGUAAAUCUAAUGUGAAGAUCAUCCUACAGUCAGUAUAGAGUCUUCAAAAAUGGCUAAAGCCCUGAGAAUCAAGAACAGAUCAUUCAAGACAGGAAACAUGAGAACUAAAUUCAAUUCUAUACCAGACCUGCAAAGAACAUUACCGAGACAAUUGGCAAAAACUGGAUAUGGCUUAAACUUAGAUGGAAACCAGGUAUCCGUGGUUUAUCAAAAAAGAAAAAGAAAAAUCCUUGUCUGUUAGCAAUCGCACUAAAAUAUUAGUGAGUGAAAGCAGUUUGUAGGCAAUUUACCAUCAGAUCAGUCAACAAAAUUUUUUGAAUGGCCUUCAUAUUAUGCAUACAACUUUGCUGAAAUUUUAAGAUACUUUCCAAAUAAGUAAUAGUAAUAACAACUUCUUUUGGCCUUGCUGAAAAUGAGGCUAUUGACUAAAUCCUUGAGAUGUAGCAUUAGAAAAACCCAGUUUCUGGUUUCUUUAGUCCACAUGGAUAACAGGAGUUGAAACAAGUCGUUGUCAUGUCCAAAGAAGGCCGCCCCAAGAAGCUCGUCCUUAUACUGAGAAUGCAAAGAUGCACAGAACUGGCCUGGGAUGGGUGAGCCAACAGCAUCACAGCUAAUAACUCUCACAUCCAGCAGAGAAACUGGACAUGAUGACUCAGCCCUGUAAAUCCCAACCCCGGGGAAGCAGAAACAACAGGCUGCUGCCAAUUCAGAGCCGCCUGCAUGACACAGUGACUGCCAAACUAGUUUGGGCUACAGAGUGAAACUGUCCAAAUUGAAACAACAAAACCCAAACAGUAGAUGUACAAAGAAGCCAGCCAUGUAGGAUGUCCAGCAUCAACCCCAAAGGAUACUAAAAUGCAGAUGUCAAGUGUAAGCUUGUCCGUAAAUAAGAGAAGUCCCAGUUUCUGGAUAAGUAGUUAACACUAUUGGUAAUCCCAUUACUGAUAGUAAAAUUGUGAAAGAUACUGUAACAUUUUGGUUUUUAAGUAGCUCCUUCAUUCAGGAGAAUUAAAACUAUUUUUACUUACAAGUCCAUUUUUUGUUGUUGUUUUGAUACAGGUUUUCUCUGUGUAGUCCUGGCUGUUCUGAAACUCACUCUGUAAACCAGGCCGGCCUCAAACUCAGAGAUAUUCUACCUGUCUCUGCCUCCUAAGUGCUGGGAUUAAAGAUGUGCCCCACCACUCCCUGGCUUAAAUUUUCAACUCAUACCAAAUUCUUUUUUAAUUACUUGUAUUGAAAAUGUAUUAGUUAUAUCCAUAGACUCAUAAUGUGAAAGGGGAAGUAUUUAAUAUUUUUUUCUGUACAAACAUAGAAGCAGAUCAAUAGAAUAAGAAGAGACUGAGAGGCCUGAACUGUACACAGUGGCAGACUGCUUGCCCAGCAUGCAUGAGGUCCAGUGUUUGGAUCUCUAGCAUAGAACAAUACUCAGUACAAAUACAGUGCUACUUUGUCUGCACAUCACUGUUUCUCUUCUUUCAGAGCCCUUUAAAAAACAUUGAUCUAUUUUAUUUUAUGUGCCUGAGUGUUUUCCUGCAUGUAUAUCUGUACACCAUGUGUAUGGCUGGUGCCUUAGAGGUCAGAAGAGGGAAUCAGAUUCCCUGGAACCCUUACAAGGGUUUGUGAGCCAUCCGAUGUGGGGCCCUCUGCAAGAUCAGUUUCUGCUCUUAAACUCCAAGCCAUCGCUCCAACCUUCAGCCUAGAUUUAAAAAAUGUGAUGUUUAAAGGAAAAGAAGAUCAUAAAGCAAUUGUGUUUUUAUUCUCCCUGGCAGAAGUACCCAUUUCUGAAAGUUGUUGAGAAUUGCCGCUAAGGGAUGUAAAUCUCUCACUUCCUGUUUUCAGGGACCACUAGUCCCUUUUAUAGGAGGAUUAAAACUACCAUUAGCAUUAUUUUUAAAAAAAGGUUACUUUAUGGGGCUGGAGUUGCCUCAGUGGUGGGGUGACACCCAGUAUGCAUGCAUAGGCUUAGCACUGGGGGAGAAAGACAUUUCAACAUCAGAACUCUAAUUUCAGUACAAAGAAUGCUCCUUUAAAUCACAUCCGUAUAGCCUCAUGAAAACUAUAUUAAAUUGUCCAAUGUUUUUAUCUUGAUCCAAAAGAGCAAAUGCCAUUAUACUAAGGAAUUUGACUUAGAGGCUUGUUCUUGCAUUGCGUGCACUCCUGGAGUCCAACUGUUACACAAAACCUGAACAAACUUUUAGAUAAAUAGAUUAUUUUACAAUUGUUUCUUAGAUACACAGAAAAAAGUAAAAAUAGUAGAGAACUACAUGUGCCUGGAAUGUAACUUCUUUUAGCAUCUUAUCCAGGAUGGUACAUUUAUAUCAUCUAGGGAACCCUGCGUGGAUACAUUUUAUUGCCUAAACGUAUACUUCCUUUAGAUUACUCUCUGUGGUAGUUUGAAUGUAAUUGGCCCCCAUAAGCUUAGAGGGGGUGGCACAAUUAGGAGGUGUGGCUUUGCUGGAGUAGGUAUGGUCUUGUUGGAGGAAAUGUGUCACUGUGGGUGUGAACUUUGAGUUCUCAUAUACACACAAGCCACCUCCAAUGCCACAGUCCAUUUCCUGUUGCCUUCUGAUUAAGAUGUAGCCAGCACCAUGUCUGUCUACACGCUGUCAUGCUCCCUACCAUGAUAAUGGACUGAACCUCUGAAACUGUAAGCAAGCCACCCCAAUUAAAUGCUUUCUUUUAUAAGAGUUGCUGUGGUCAUGGUGUCUCUUCACAGUAAUAAAAACCCUAACUAAGACUCCCUCUCUCUCCACAUGUAUGUAUGUGGGUGGGUGGGUGUGCGCACAUGCACAUACA